UGAAAAUCCAGGGGUAAAGGGUUCUUUUUUUUUUUUUUCUUUAAGGAACACAUUAAAGAAAAACAAAAAACAAAAACAAAAAAACAAUGGUUGCGCUCCCUCUGCUGGUUGUACUGGAACAGUAGGAUGGACAGUUUGGGAGGAUGAAACAACAGAAAAGGAAACUAUGGAUUUUGUUUGUGUUUUCCAUACUGUUUUUACACAGCAGUUCUACCCUGGCUUGGCAGAAAGUGUUGACGAAGGUUUGUGGACGAGAUGGCGACUGGUGAUCAUUUAGAAGCUUUCCUCUUGAAGAAUGGGAAAUAGGGUAUCGGAGAAAAGAACUGGUGGCAAGAGAUCACGAGGCAGGACUAAGUAGCUGCAAAGAAAACACAUGCAGGAAAACUCUUCACGAGGAUGGAGUAAGCAUAGAGCUUUUAAGAUACAGUAUGUCUAAGUGGGUUCCGGGGAAAGCAGCAUUUGGAGCUACAUGACAGCCU
rnacentral:lncRNA from 1 species